AACAAACGCUGGCGGCGUGCCUAAUACAUGCAAGUCGAACGAGGAAAGCUUUCGGGUGAGUACUAGUGGCGCACGGGUGAGGAAUACAUGGGUAAUCUGCCCUCGAGUUGGGGAUAACCAGUCGAAAGAUUGGCUAAUACCGGAUAAGACCCCAAGAUCUGCGGAUCAAGGGGUUAAAGGUUUUUCGCUUGAGGAUGAGCCCAUGUGGGAUUAGCUAGUUGGUGAGGUAAUGGCUCACCAAGGCGACGAUCCCUAACUGGUCUUAGAGGAUGAUCAGUCACACUGGAACUGAGACACGGUCCAGACUCCUACGGGAGGCAGCAGUAGGGAAUAUUGCACAAUGGGGGAAACCCUGAUGCAGCGACGCCGCGUGAGUGAUGAAGGCCUUCGGGUCGUAAAGCUCUGUCGUAUGGGACUAACACAAUGAAGGUACCAUGCAAGAAAGGAUCGGCUAACUUCGUGCCAGCCGCCGCCGUAAAAC
rnacentral:rRNA from 1 species